UCAGGCCGCGAGCUCCUUCUUCUGGGGGUGUACGUGGAUGACCUGGUGAUCACCGGGGCCGACGCCACGGAGAUCGACAAUUUCAAGACGGCGAUGAAGGGCAAGUUUAGGAUGAGCGAUCUCGGGUUGCUCUCCUACUACCUGGGCAUUGAAGUGCGCCAGGAUGUGGAUGGUGUGACCAUUGCGCAGAGCGCGUACGCUGACAAGAUCAUUGAGAAGGCGGGGCUGAUGGGGUGUAAUGCACGUCAGACACCCAUGGAAGCGCGUCUGAAGCUGAGCAAGGCAAGCACAGCGGCUUCGACGGACGCUACGGAGUACAGGAGCAUGGUGGGGACGUUGCGCUACCUCACCCACUCCCGA
rnacentral:rRNA from 1 species